CAGUCGCCGCGGUAAUACGCAGGGUGCGAGCGUUAAUCGGAAUUACUGGGCGUAAAGCGUGCGCAGGCGGUUUGUUAAGACAGAUGUGAAAUCCCCGGGCUUAACCUGGGAACUGCAUUUGUGACUGGCCGGCUAGAGUAUGGCAGAGGGAGGUGGAAUUCCACGUGUAGCAGUGAAAUGCGUAGAUAUGUGGAGGAACACCGAUGGCGAAGGCAGCCUCCUGGGCCAAUACUGACGCUCAUGCACGAAAGCGUGGGGAGCAAACAGGAUUAGAUACCCCGGUAGUCCCUGUCUCUUAUAC
rnacentral:rRNA from 1 species